CGUCUCCAAGUUGGUUUGUGUUACAGCAGCAGUGACUCACUGAUGCUCAGUCCACUGGAAAGCACUAAGCAGACAGGCUCUGCUGCUAAAUUCAGCGGCUAUUCCCCGAGUGCCUUCCCUGAGUCAGAGCAGUCCUUAAAAAAGUUAAUGUGAAUGAACAGAAGAUGCUAGAGGAGCAUGUUUACCUGCUCCCAAGGUGAUAAAAGCAGAUUGAGUUGAAAUCCUAGGGCAUUGAUGACAUGCCAGACUUCCCACUGGGUCAACAGAGCUGUCCUUCCCUUCUGGCCCCUCAAUUAUCCUUCCUCCCCCUUCUUCUCUCCCCAAAGCCUGCAUGCAUCUUAAAGGUAUUCCUUUCAUAACCAGUCGAGGACAAUGGAAGUCAAAGAACUAGAGCAUGGCAUUUUGCAAUUCUAGGGAUAAUAUUUCAUCUCAUGACACAUUUCAUGGGCUUCUAUUCUAUGUAAAAAGAUGGCAUCAUAUCCAAAUAUAAUGUAACAUUAGGUAAAAAUAUUUGCAUAUAAUGAAAGUAAAAUAAAUUCAAUUUUAAGGUUAUAAUCAGAAAGAGUUUUCAUUAAGAAUUUAUUGCUAUUUUUUUUUCCCACAGUAGAAAUCCAGAUUGUGUAAUUUUACCCUCAGUUAUUAUUUUCUGUAUCUUCUUUUUCUGUAUAUUUUCCCUGUACGCUGUAUAUUACAAGCUCAAAUCUUCAUUUUCAAAAUGCAUCUUAUUUUUAGGCUUUCAUUUUCUAAAGCCAGUGCCUGCUACAGCCAGUCUUUUAAUCUGCUAAGAAUAUAGUAAAGAGGUGAUUACAGAGGAUGAAAAUGAGGAAAAAAUUAAUAUUAUGAGGUACAAACUGUGGUGUAGCAUAACUAUAACCAUGUAUGUGGGAGAAUGGAGCAUAGGUGCUACUACAAGGUGCUUUAGCUUUUUAAUUUUGUGGUUUUAACCUUUUAAUGAAGCACAUUUUUCUUUUAACUGUUGUUAUGCAAUUCUAAUAUUUUAUAAAAGAGCUUCCUGUAUUUGCAAUGGAUUCACUUAAGAUACAUAUUUGCAUAAGUAAUUAUUGCUGUAUUGUAGGCAAAGUUUAUGGCUGCAGCCUGUGUUCCUGAUUUUG